CUCCCUCCUCCUCCUACUCCCCCUCCCAUUUUUUUAUUUUUCUAUGCAGACUUAGACCAGUUCUUCCCCUGUAGGAGUUCUGGUCUCAGGUUCCUCUGGUGUCCCUAAGUCUGUGACAGCCCCAGGGCUCCUUUGGCCUCUCAUUGUCCCCACAAGACCCAGUGAGCUCCUGUACACAGGAGUCUCUGUGAAAUUGAGAGAUGAGUUUUCAGACCCAUCCCAUCUCUUCUCAUUCUAGGACUGUCCUGGAUCAUUAUUUCCAUCUUUCCCCCCAUAGCUUCUAGAAAGCAGAUUCUGGAGUUAGAGACAGGAUCUGGUGGUUUCUCAUCAUUACUAAACUUUGCUUAGUUUCUAUCUUCUCUGCUCACCUACCUGCCAACCUGCCCUUGGCUCUGGUAAUCCUUUUUCUGGUUCUGCUCCUGAUUCAUGGAGUGAUGAAGCAGUGUCUAAUUUGAAUCCACAUUUGUCUGGAAUAUAUGACCCAUAAGACUAUGCACAACUUUUCUGAAGGAAGAACUGUCAUUGUUUCCUGUGCUGUGCAGGAGGGAUGGUGUGGGAAGGAGGACAUGGGGACAUGGAUGAGACCAUCACUGGUGAGAAAAGUGGCAGCUGCCACAAACAGCUAUGGCCUGAGGCUCAUCUAGAAGAGAGAAGUGCUCUUUGUGGAUCAUUUCUACAAGUGAUAAUUGAGCGUCAGACACAGGGGCACUACUGUAGUAUCUAGGACACCCCAGUGAAGUAGAAACAGACAAAAUGGGCCCACCUUGUGGGGCGUAUGUGCUGGUAGUGAGGGGCAGACUGUGCUAGUAACUAAGGGAAGUGUGUGUUAGAGGUUGGGAAGUUCAGUGAGGAAGGGGACCCAGAGGAGACCCGUGUGGAAACAGGGAAGAUGGCUACUUUACUGGGGUGGUAAGUGUGAGCCUCACUGAGGAGGUGAUCUCUGAGGGAAUUGAAGGACAUGAAGGAAUUGUGUAAGAGGAGGUCUGGGGGGAGUUCUUUCCAGGCAGAGAACCUCCGGUGCACACUCACUAGGGCAGGGGCGUGUCCCGUGCUCAAGAAAGGGUGAGGAGGCCACCAUGGCUGGAGUAGAGAGCAGGUGACAUGAGGUCAGAUGCCCAGGAUUAGAAGGGUUUUGAGUUUUCUCUGAGUGAGAUGGAGUUAAAGAUGGUUUUGAACAGAUGAUCCACCUGGAGGACUUGUUUUAGAAGCACCUGUUUGCUGCUGUGCAGAAUUGAGACGUACAGUGCAAACAACCAGUAGGGAAACUGUAGGAAACCAGUGCAGUGUCGCGGGCCUGGGUGGCUCAGUUUUUUAAGCAUUUCCUUCAGCUCAGGGAAAGUAAUAGGAAGUAAUUGGGUGCUAGAGAUAUUUAAAGAUGGACUUUGCAGCAUUUCCUAAUGGAUUCAUUCCGGGUGGUGAGAAGGAGGAAUCAAGGAGGGCAUCCAGUAUUUCAGGUAGAAAUGUGUAAUGCCUUCCUUGGAUAUGAGGAAGAUUCUGGAAGCAAGGACAUUUGGGGAAACACCAACACAAGCAUCCAACUUAGGAAUAUUAAAUCUGAGAUGCCUACUAGAAAUGCAAGUGAGGGGGCUCAUGGGUGGCUCAGUACACAGAGCAAUUGAGUCUUGGUUUCAGCUUAGGUCAUGAUGUCAUGGUCCUGAAAUCCAGCCUUGCAUUAGGCUACCCAGCCAUCGCGGAGCGUGCUGGAGAAUCUGUCUUCCCUCUCCCUUGUCCUUUCCCUGCUAAUGUUCUCCCUUUAAGUAAAUAAAUAAAUAAAAUAUUUUUUUUUAAAGGAAAGAAAAAAAGAAAUGCAAACAAGGUGGCAGUUGGAUAGUGCAGGGGAGGAGAAAUAUCUGGGUUGGAGAAAUAGAUUUGGAAGGUGACAGCAUAUACAUGAUGAGCCUUCAGCAGAGAUGAGGUCACCAGGGGGGGCGAGGGCCAUAGAAGAGAAAGGAAUAGGACCAAACCCUGGACUCCUCAGGGCUAAGCAGGCUGAUCAGAGCACCCACAGUACACUGCACAGUCUGGUUCUGUGUCUAGAAGGCACAGAGACCAGGGAGGCCCAGCCUUCAGUGUACACAGGAAUUUCCUGGACUAUGAAGAUCUAGGCAGUCUGGGAUAGAGUGUGAGAUUCUGGGUUGAUAACAAGGUUGGUGCUUCUGCUUCUGGUCUUCAGAUCCCACACUGAGUGGUGAACACAAGAAGCAGGAUCCCCACAUGGCCGUGCAUCAGCCUUUCCUGUAGGGCUGCUUAAUUAAGAAGAAAAAUGCAAGGCAUGCUGGGAGAUACAUAUUUUUUCUCUCAUGGGGCACAGCCAGGUGGCAGACUGAGAAAGUGGUUGUCAGCUCAACAAAAAGAAAAAGUCUGAUUGCUGAAAGAGGAAAGCCACACAACAGACCCAAGGCUGCACAGGCAGGAACAGAAUCCACCUUCACACCCCAGGUCAAGGCCUAAAGAGGAACCACUGCCCCCGGUGCUGGCCACAGGUCCCACUGUUCACACCACUGCACCCUGAGGCCAGGACUGCUGUCACUACUGCUCCUGGCAGCUGGAUGACAUGAUGGCUACUCCUGCCACCUGUGCCAAAUGCAUGCAGCACUGUCCCAGCUUCUCUGUCACACACAUCCCAAGUAAGAGUCUGGCAUCUGGUCACCUGAAUGAUGGAACCUCAGGCCCUGUCCCCCUGCAACUACAUGUGACAUCCCGACUCUGAUCUGGAUUCCUGGGGAGUGAUCACCAACAUCCUCCGACUUGAACUCUUCAUUUAGUCUGGUCUCUGCAUUCCUAGCCACAGGCCUGUGAGAGGCCACACAUUCAGGUGGUUCCCAAAGUCACCCCUGCUGGAGGCAGAUCCCAAGAUGGCCCCAGUGUUCCCAUCCGCCGGUAUCAUGCUCUUGUGUAAUAAUACCCACUUUGGGAACAGAAGCAGGACAUAGUGACUUGCUGGUGACACACAGAAUAGAGUGAAGUCAUGCAGUGAGUAUCUGGAAUCACCAGGACACAAGAUAUGAGGGGCCUGGGGUCCACAGUCUCAAGGAGGGUGGUCCAAGCCAGGCUGGAUAAGUGCAGAUUUCUGGUGGAACUGCAUGACAAAAGACUCUGCAUUCCUUUUCCCUCUGAGGGGUUUCUUCUCCAGAUCUCAGCCCCCACAACCACUGCCCUCAGACAGGAGGAGGGGGAGGAAAGGUCACCAGCAGGGAUUCUCAUCCUGGCUGCAGUCAACAGGGGAAUUCUGUAAAAAGUACAGGAAGGGGAGAGAAGAAACACAGGUCCCCAAAAGUAACAGCUGGUGAGUCCAUGCACACCCCCAAGACGGCCCCGUGGCUACAAAGAUGAGAGGAGAACAGCCUCCAGUCUCCCCAUGCUGCCUCUGGGGCCCAGCUCUCCUUUCCUCCAACCAGACAGUGUCCCAAAGAGCCCCCAGUGCUGCCCCCUGUGUAUCUGUCUCUGUUCAUCUCCAGAACAGACCACCACGCCCACCCCUCCAGGAAACCCUCCCCUCUCCAUAUGCAUUAGUUCAGUUGUGUGCAACAGAAACCCAGCUAACAGUGGUUGUCCACGGGACAGCAGCUUGUGUGUGUCCCAUGAGUGAGGUGAGCCCUCUGGGACUGUAGUGUCACUCUGCACCACGGGACUAUCCAGAAACGCUGGUAACGAUGACCCUGGGACGUUUCCUUAUUAGCAUGAGCAGGGCACCUAAGAUCAUGUCCGUGGUCCGUGAGCAGGGAAGGGAAAGCAGAAAAAGUGGAUGUUUCCUGCCUUUUAGGACAAAACCUGCUACCACAUUCUGCGUCCCCAUAAGGGCCAGAAUGUAGUCACACAGACAAAAGUAGCCUCCAGGGAGGCUGGUGACUGAGGCUCUUUUUAAUCUGAGGGAACAUGUACUCCAUGAAAUUGUGUCGCUGUGGAAUGAGGAUCAUUUCUGCUUUACUUAAAUUUUUAAAAAUCACCUGUGGCAGAAUGGUCAUUACCAAUACCUAAUAUCAAUAUCGAAUCCUGAAUGAAUUCUGUAUGUAAAAACUGGGAUCAUCUCAGAAUAUAUUGUUAAUUGAGAACAAAGUUAGAGGUAGAUUAUUUGGUAAAAUGCCACCUCCUAAAAUGGAAAUCUCUCCUAUAAUAAUACUGUAGAAACUGGUAACAGCUCUUAUGUCCCAGGGGAGAGUUUGGAAGAAUUGUGGAGGGAAUAGAGGAGGAAAUUUACUUUUCACUGCAUGCUCUUUUUUGUUAUAUAAAUGUUUUCAACCUUGUGCAUGUAUCAGUCUGUUGAAAUAAAUUCUGAAUUGCCCGAGAAACCCUACCUCCAUUUAGCAGACACAUAAUAGGCAGUAGCAGAUGUCAGGCUCUCUGCUAGGCUCAGUGAGAGAAACAUGAAGGAAUUCAGAGUGGGGUGAAUAACCUGGUAAAUGUACCUAUCCUGAUGAGGUUUGCGGAAAUAGCCACCACGCAGAAGCUAACUGAGUGCCUACUGUGGGCCAGGCGUUGUACUACAUGCUUGGGACAGGAAGAAAACACAGAGUAAAGACAAAGGUCACACCUUUGUGACCUACCUGUCUCAUGCUCAUGAGGUUCUGUACCAACUCCUGACUCUCCGGAAACCCUACUACUGUCUUGUCCCUGUGUGGGAAGGAUCUGAGACUUGGGAAGAGAACCUUUGCCCAUUUGGUCCAAAAGUUAUUAGGAAGAUUUAAUUAGAGAAUAGUGACUUCCUAAUGUAACUGACUCAUCAAUACAAGAGAAAAUCUCUAAGAAAUGAUCUGGAUGAAAGGAAAAAAACUGACAGAGUGGAAUCACAGGAAAUGUCUUGGUGGAAUCCCAUCUGAGGCAGACUGAGAGAAAUAGUGGGAGACCAGGAUUAGCCAGGCAGCACGAUGCAGGAAAGAAACAGAAUGGUUGAGUGUAGUGAUGGUGCUUUCCUAGAGAUUUAAAAGGUCUGACAAAUGAGGAGGGAAAUAUUCAGAGAGGACGACCUCUCAGGUUCUACAAAGUUGAGACAGACCUUUCCAAAUGACAGCGUGAUUCUUGUAGCUACGACCCUGCUUGGAUAACACAACUUAGCCUGCAGAUCAUCUCCAGCAUGGGACCCAGAGUAUAAUUAUGUUGCUCAGUUACUCUGCAGGGUAAUAGCCUGGUAAGUACAGAUUUAUGAACACAUCCAGUGCAGAGACCUUGCUACCCUCCAUUCCUUCCAUCUGUCACCUGGAACAUCCCUGUGCAGAUUUUAUAAUAAGGCCCAAUGGUCCCCACCUCCUGGUCCACAUGGCCUUGUGGAAUCUCCUCCUACUGAGAAGAUACGAGAAUAUCUUCUAACGAGUAAAAUGUGGCAGUGGUGACCUUGGAAUAUAUACAAUCAUGAAUUCCAUUUUGCCUGCUGAGUUUCUACUGUCCUCUCCCCUUGCAAGCUUUGCUGAAGCAAACAGCUGUGUUGGAAAGACCAGAAACUGAGGUCAGCCUGCUGCCUACAUCCAGCAAGACGCUGAGGCCCCCAGUCCACCAGCCCACAAGGAACUACUCAGUCUUCUCCAGAGGGCAGCACUCCCCUUUCUUGAAGACAGACAUCCCAUUUUCUCUUUACAACAUGAAUGUCAAGUUCUUACCAUCUUACUUGCUUUCCUCUUGCUCUAUCUGGAAAGGCCCAUGAGGGAGCUACUGUCAGGCUAUCAGGAAGUGCCACCUUCAUGUCACUUCUCACCUUGGAGAGAAGGCGUCACCAGGAAGUCAGCUGGAAGAAGACAAGUCAGAGACAGCAGGAUUGGUAGGUCAUGAGUGCUCACCCCAGUGUCUCUCACUGUGCUUUCAGGCUGUGAACAAAGCAGUAAGUGAACUCUGCCCACCCACGGCUGGUCUCCCCACUUCUGCAUGCUGGACAGCCCACCUCACACCCCAGAUGCAGACUCCACUGAUUCCCUACAGCCCAGAUGUGACCUCCCUUCCCUCCACCUCCAGCAAACACACUCCAUCAGCCAACGUACAACCAGCUCUCCUGUCGCCUCAAACUCCAUGGACUCCCCUACAAGCAUAUGCCUAACAAGACUCAGCGCUGGAGAAGGAGAAGCUGUCAGAGCCACAGAAGGUCGUGACCCUUACAGAGGCUGGUGAACAGUGUCCUGGAGUUAAAAAAAAAAAAAUGGUGGGCACUUGACUAUUGGUCAGCACCUGACCAUUUUGUUAGAGUCAUGACUCAGCCAAUUGACUCAGUUAACCUCAUAGUGACCUUGGAUUCCUUCCUUAUAAAUUGGAGUUGGCACCUUU